rnacentral:lncRNA from 1 species
CUGCUGUGCCGGUGCCCAAUGUUGGCCUUGGAAUGCCAUACCAAGCCCCUCCCAUGACCUACCCCAUCUACGCCGGAUACAACAGCGGCCUGGGAGCCUAUGGCAAUGCCAUGCCCCCAGCCCCAGCCUUUCACCAGGCUUACUACCGGUAGAAUCAGUCAGUCGGAAAUGACCAAAUGACAAGAGCCGAUGACGGCGGGGCUUCGUCAAUGGUGCCCUGUUUUGUAGCGACUGACUACAACGGUAGGUUGCGUACGUCCUUAAUACAUCAUCACUACUAGAUGCUUAUGUCACUUCGUUCUGUUCGGUUAUUAGCACUCAUGUUUACUUCCGCACUGAAAACUGAAAAACUGAAUGUAGAGUAUGGACGCCGUGUAUGUGGACCUCGUGUUGUAAUUCAGUUUAAAGCACUAGGCGAAAAACCCAAAAAAUUUAUUAUGCAUGUAAUCCUCAAGCAUUGACUAUUAAUAUCUUCUGUUAGCUAUAGUUGCGAUGGUCAUUAUUUCUCUCUGAUUAUUGCAUCUGUGUGCUUG